GCAAGAGGCCGCAUCCCGCAUCCUCCUCACAGACGGAUCUGAACUGUGCGGAGCUUAUUCCCUCCACGGCCCGCGAACCCUCCCUCACACACACAUUUUACAGCGCGUUAAUCGCACGAAUAAUACGGUUACCGAAAACACGCCGACGCGCCUCACAAAUUACCCCUCUUCUUUCCUUUCUCCAAAAAUUUCUUAUCCAUCUUCCAAAUCCUCGUUGCCCAGAAUCCCUUGAUUCACAUCAAACUCCUCCAUCCCCCUAAAUCUCUGCCAACCCCUUCAAUUUCCCUAUUAAUUCUCGAAUUUCCGGACGCUAAGGCCUCACCAAAUCUGAGGAGGAGUGGUGGGAGUGGGAGGAAGAGGAGGGAAGGGUUUGAGGGUUAUGGUGGGUACAGACGUCGGCCGGGGUCUGCACCCGAUCCAAAGUCGGGUUUUUUUCUGGCUUAAGGUAAUAGAAGGGCGGUGAUUGCAACUUUGAGUGUUAUCGGAGAUGACGUUGCAAGGUUUGAAGGCAGCAAGGAUGUAUUAAUAGCAAAGUCUAUUGAAUCAGCUACUGACUUGCAUAAAGGGCUAAGAGUUAAGACAUACAAAACCAAAGAAAGUGCAUUUCAGGGGCUAGAAGCAGUGAUCUAUGUUUUCCGAAGUCGUAUGGAAGCAUUGCUGUUCCUUAUUUCUGCUUUGCUUUCGCGAGGAUUGGUAUGCAUGAUAGCUUAAAAUCUAUGUUGUAGUUGUAUACCUUCCUCAGUAUACCGCUGUUAUGUUUACAUUUGUUGUUUGGAAAUGCAGUUUAUAUAUUGUGUGGCUAUCCUACUGUGAGUCAAACAUAGUCCUACUAAACAAAAGAUGAGAAUAAACCGUGAAAAUAGUGUGUAGUCAAACUACUAUGAGGACCAUUAGGAUUAUAUUUCUAAAUUUUGAGUAAAUUUUUGGUGCAUAUCUUAGAGAAAAAUCAGUCUCAGAAUAUACAACUACUGCUUGGUGAAUCAUGGAAUCACACUACCCUGUGUCUGGGCCCUAGGUUGAUUUUUUUUUUUCUGAAAACACUAUCCCAUGAAUGGAUGUGUCGUAUUCAGCAUCUCUUAGGACAUAGUGCUGAAUCUCUAAUGUGUUCAAAGUUACUUAAGGCAAGUAGUAAGAAGUGUAAUCCCUCUAAGGUGUGUUAGUGUCCUGAAUUUUUUCAAUGAAGAUUGACUAUUUCAUGUAUAAUUAAUAAUCAAGUUUGAAGCAGGUGAAAUUAUUGACAUGCUUCUGAAAGCCUUCCCUAUUAUUUCCUAUUUUCCAUGUAAGCUCGUAACCUUUCUGAAAGUUAAGUAGUUGUUGCAUGAGAAUGAUAGGCUGUUUUGCUUACAGUCAGUUGUACCUACGGGUCUUUCGGGUUUUUGUUUUUCAAUUUUUUGAGGUCCACAGAUCUAGUGAGAUGAAUUGGCUCAUUCUCCCAGCUCCAAAUGCAUUUUUGGUUUCUUGAAUUAUUUUUGGUUUCUUGAAUUUUUCCUCCUUGAUGCUCCUAUUGUUAAUGUGUUAGAGUUUCUUUUUUAUAUGACUUAAUCCAGGCUGACAGGGAUGAUCCGACCCUUCCUCUUGUCACUGCUUCAUUUGACCCAGUAGUUGGGUACUUGAUCCAUUUGUGGUUCAUCCUAAUGAACUUUGUGAUUUGAUUUUAUUGUGUAUUUUGUAUGUGACGGAACAGGCAAUUGUGAAUUUACUGCUCUGCAGGCAGGCUGUCCGAAAUGUCUUUGUUGGAAAUAUGGAUCUGGGUUGUGGCAUGUCCUUAAAGGGGAUAUCGAAAACAGUUGAAGUUGGAUUCCUCACGUUGUUGGAGUCAUUAAAUUUCUGCAAGGUUGGCUAUCACCUGAAAUUCCUCAGAUGGCCAAACUGGGUAGUGGGAAGUGAGUCUCAUUAUACAAAGUGCAUGAUAACGUGGUGCAUGAUGAAUAAUUGUGUUUUAUUGAAUAAUAUGAGGGCUUAUAUAUAUGCAUUAUAUAACUGUAAGAUUCGGAGUCUUAAUCUAUUACAGAGAUACGAAUUUAUCUCUAACAGGAAACCUAAUAGGACUAAGACACACAUGAUAGAAUAUAAAUUCUCUCGGAACACUAUUAUGAUUAUCUUUGUAAAUUUUUAUUUUUAUUUUAUAUCAACCCUAAAUGCAAAUGUUGUGCG